GACGAACGCUGGCGGCGUGCCUAAUACAUGCAAGUCGAACGCAGUGGGGACGGGUGAUUAACACGUGGCUAACCUCCCAUCAGAGGGGAUAACACUUGGAAACAGGUGCUAAACUGAUACUGAUGGAUGGACCUGCGGGGGAGUAGCUAGUUGGGUAGGUAACGGCUCACCAAGGCCACGAUGCAUAGCCGACCUGAGAGGGUGAUCGGCCACACUGGGAUUGAGACACGGCCCAGACUCCUACGGGAGGCAGCAGUGGGGAAUCUUGGGCAAUGGGCGAAAGUCUGACCGAGCAACGCCGCGUGAGUGAAGAAGGUUUUCGGAUCGUAAAGCUCUGUUGUUAGAGAAGCGGUAUCUAACCAGAAAGCCACGGCUAACUACGUGCCAGCCGCCGCGGUAAUUC
rnacentral:rRNA from 1 species